UAUGGAGUGAGACUCUUCAUCUUUCCCCAGCAAGCAAUCAGGACUCACACCUGAGUCAGAAAAAACAUGAAGUUCUUCAGCAGAGUAUGAUAAGCAUUAAAAUAGGAUGAAAAUCUCUGGCGGAAUUGGGAUGAAAAUGCAGAUUCAAGGAGAAAUAUGAACAAUAUAAGAUUUCUGUUGAUAAAGAAGAGCCUGUUAGGUAUUUUUUAAACAGCUGAUGCAGACCUUAGGAUCCUUGUGAAAUGUGAACAUGGGAAGAUCUUCCCCGAUGGCCCAAGUCCAAAGCUCCAGAGGCCGGGUAGAAGCAAUGACACACAACUCCACAAGAUGCCAGGUUGUGGGGCCCAGCAGAGCCCAAGAAGGCUGACCCCUGUCUCCAGUGUAUAGAAAUGCAACAGAUUUCAGAAAAGACCCCGAAUAGCCAGAGGUAUGUUGAAAAAGAAAAGCAAAGCUGGUGGCAUCACAAUUCUUGACUUCAAGCUCUAUUACAAAGCUGUCAUCAUCAAGACAG